rnacentral:lncRNA from 1 species
GCAAACUUAAUUUAACUUCAUUAAAUCGAAUAUAUUUCGAGUUUGGACCUAAGCUAAAAUAAGUUUUAAAAUUAUUCCCUCUAUCCUAGAUUACAUAACCAGAUUAUAAGGCUUCAAGCAAAUAUUUUGAAGCAUACUGACCACAUGUAGAUAAUUAUAAUAAUAUUUAUCACCUUUUUAGUUUUUCAAGUGUUAACGUCAAGAUCUUCUGCCACGUCCCAAUCACGUAAGACGUCCUGAUCCUGCACAGUAAACACGAUCAACACCAAAAACUUGACGGCUUCGACCGUCGGGGGAUAGCUUAGGCGUGAGAAUCAGUACAGGCGAUCACAAGGUUAACAACGGAGGAUAAAAUAUCUAGUGUAUUGAGAGAGAUAAAAUUAUCAGUUACCUUUACUUAGAAGACCGCCUUGCUCUGUUAUACUCUCUAGCCCGAUUUACCGUGCCACCCACUACUGUCUGACACAGCUCCCUAAUCCUGAUAGUUUCUGGCGACUGCAUGCAGUGCACCCACUACCUCUGGUCACUGUUUUCCACAGCCGACCGUCUCCGGAUCCCAUCCACAUUAAUGCAUGGCAGAUAAAUCAGUCAACCAUCAUGCUUUUUCAUCAUUAUCGGUCAAAGAUGGAGAUAUUUAAUAUCUAAUGGGUGAGUCCACUGACCCGACCCGAUCUUAUAAAGACUUAACAGAAAUAAUAUAGUGACUAGGCCCAAUAACUUUAGGAUCCAAUAAUGAUAAUCCGGCGAACUAAUCAAAUAAACAGGCUCAAUCACUUGGCCCAAUAAGCGAAAUAUUAUGACCCAACACCAAGUAACCCUCUAGUCUAUAAUAUAUAUUAAUAUUCACUACCCCUAGUGUGGUGUCCAACUAAUAUUCAAAAAUAUUUUAAUAUAAUAUCUAAUAUACCCUUCAAGUUAUAAUGUUUAAUAUAUCCACUAAGUAUAAAUUUAUAUGUUAUAACUUUUACUUA